rnacentral:rRNA from 1 species
AGAGUUUGAUCCUGGCUCAGGAUGAACGCUAGCGGCGGGCAUAAUACAUGCAAGUCGAACGGGAUAAGUUGUAGCAAUACGACUUUGAGAGUGGCGCACGGGUGCGUAACACGUAUGCAACUUGCCCUUAACAGGGGGAUAGCUUUCGGAAACGAAAAUUAAUACCCCAUAUUAUUACUUAUAUGCAUGUAUGAGUAAUGAAAGCUCCGGCGGUUAAGGAUGGGCAUGCGGCUGAUUAGCUAGUUGGCGAGGUAAAGGCUCACCAAGGCGACGAUCAGUAGGGGGUCUGAGAGGAUGUCCCCCCACACUGGUACUGAGACACGGACCAGACUCCUACGGGAGGCAGCAGUAGGGAAUAUUGGUCAAUGGAGGCAACUCUGAACCAGCCACGCCGCGUGCAGGAUGAAGGCCCUCUGGGUUGUAAACUGCUUUUGUUAGGGAAAAAACCCCUCGAUGCGUUGAGGGUUGAUGGUACCUAAAGAAUAAGGAUCGGCUAACUCCGUGCCAGCAGCCGCGGUAAUACGGAGGAUCCUAGCGUUGUCCGGAUUUAUUGGGUUUAAAGGGUGCGUAGGCGGAAUAUUAAGUCAGGGGUGAAAGCCGGUCGCUUAACGAUCGAAUUGCCUUUGAAACUGGUAUUCUUGAAUUUGAUUGAGGUAGGCGGAAUGUGUCAUGUAGCGGUGAAAUGCAUAGAUAUGAUACAGAACACCGAUUGCGAAGGCAGCUUACUAAGUCAACAUUGACGCUGAGGCACGAAAAGCGUGGGGAGCAAACAGGAUUAGAUACCCUGGUAGUCCACGCCG